UUCAUUAGUCACAUAGUCGCUUUGAUCCGGCUCGCAAAACCAGCUUAAACGUCAUUUGCUUGAAAUUCCAAAUAUUUCGCAGAACUACGCGCAAAAAGGCAAAGACCUCAGAUGAUCAACGAGGCAACAUUCGGUCGGCAGCAAACCGUCGUUCUGUUCAUGAGCAGUCAACUGGAAAAUUACUCUUUCGCAUUCUACAUCCAACACUGCCGAAAAUAUUGUGUUGGUUAACUCAUGGCUGAAAGUGCAAAUCGAUUGACUGUAUCCUUGCAUUCGCCUUGCGGCAAAUGAAGAGAAAAAUCAACACCGGAAAAGUUCGCUCAGAUCUCGAUUCUCAUCUUUAUUGAAACAACUGACGGCCAAAGUUGCACCUCUUCCUCCACUCAUCCCUAAUGAUCGUGAUGUUGAUGAUGAUACACAAUUGAAAUCCACCCCCAAACAGGAGGGAUAGUUGCAUCUACCGAUUCAUACUGUACCGGCAACCGAGAGCAUGCAUGUGAAAUAUUCCCUUCCAUUCGUCUCAUCACGAGUGUCACGGUUCAGUUCAGUUCACAGGGAGAGAUUGCGUGAAUUGGGUAUGAGAGCUAUAUGAUCGAAGUGAAAUGAAUAUUGUUAAUUUCACUUAAUACUUUCACAAGUCAAUCAUUCUGAGAAGUUUAUGUUCUGAAUUAUGUAGUAGUAUUUAAUAGUAUGAGCGAUUCAUCGCAUGUAGCUGAAGGAAACACCGUCGUCAAAUAUAGUGGUCAUCCAGAUAAUCAUACAACUAAAGCAUUUAAAUGUAUUUUCAGAACCAUUGCUUCCAACGCGAACCUAAUAUUAUGCGUGUUUUCAAUGGGGUCUCUCAUUACCAAUUACAAGAACUAUAAGAGUUUAUACUGGGAGAAACAAUCAUAGCAAAUCUACGUUCGAUUAUAUGUCAAGAAAAUUUUCUCAAAACCACACCCCUCUUUUUUUCGAGUGUGUUUGUAAAUCCUGGGAAGAUCAAACAAUUUUCUGUUCUUUUUGUUGAAUCAAAUUAAAGCUGCAUAAUGACAUUUCAAUUCAAUUAACGAUAAAUUUUGUUCAAAAAAUGUGGCUGUUUGAUCUUGCCGCGGUUUGUUUUUGGAAUCAUGACAUUUUUGCACGUGUUGCCAAAAUCGUAUGAAUACUGUAAUACUCCAUGGCAAAUAUAUGGCUUGAAAUGAUACAGACUCAAACAAAUGUCAACUGUGACAAAAUUCUUGCAAUAUCAGAAAUUUGUCAUACCGUCAAGCUACCAUCCACCGUGCAUUUAAAAAAAUCUGCACUUCAAAAAAAAUAUAUUUUUUCCAAAUCAUUUAAAGCAAACUAGAAUACCACUAUGAAGCAUGUAAUUAUACCAUACCUCAGGAUAAAAUCUAAAAGUAGUGAUGCAUAACAAAAUAACAAAAACAAAAACUCAAAAAUUAUGUUUACAAAUGUUAUGCUAAGGUCGCCUCAUACCGUUCUAUGUCACCAUUUACCGUGCACGCUGGUGCACCAUUAUCCGUGCGUAUAGUUUGCAUCAUGAUUUAACGUGAAGAUGGAUCGAAGCCAAAUCUCAAUUUUUCAAGAGCACGAAUCUUGAGAAUCAAGCAGCCGUUUGAGCUCAAAGCUAGUAACCAAUCGAUUAAGUUUUCAGCUCA